rnacentral:rRNA from 1 species
CAGGGCUUGACAUCCCGCGAACCCUGUGGAAACACGGGGGUGCCCGCAAGGGAGCGCGGAGACAGGUGGUGCAUGGUUGUCGUCAGCUCGUGUCGUGAGAUGUUGGGUUAAGUCCCGCAACGAGCGCAACCCCUGUCCCAUGUUGCCAGCGAUUCGGUCGGGGACUCAUGGGAGACUGCCGGUGACAAAUCGGAGGAAGGUGGGGAUGAUGUCAAGUCAUCAUGCCCCUUAUGUCCAGGGCUACACACGUGCUACAUUGGCCGGUACAAAGGGCUGCAAACCCGCGAGGGGGAGCGAAUCCCAAAAAGCCGGUCCCGGUUCGGAUUGGAGGCUGAAACUCGCCUCCAUGAAGUCGGAGUUGCUAGUAAUCGCGGAUCGGCAACGCCGCGGUGAAUAUGUUCCCGGGCCUUGUACACACCGCCCGUCACACCACGAAAGUCGGCAACACCCGAAGCCGGUGGCCUAACCCCUUGUGGGAGGGAACCGUCGAAGGUGGGGUUGAUGAUUGGGGUG